CGUAGGUGGCGAGCGUUGUCCGGAUUUACUGGGCGUAAAGGGAGCGUAGGCGGACUUUUAAGUGAGAUGUGAAAUACCCGGGCUCAACUUGGGUGCUGCAUUUCAAACUGGAAGUCUAGAGUGCAGGAGAGGAGAAUGGAAUUCCUAGUGUAGCGGUGAAAUGCGUAGAGAUUAGGAAGAACACCAGUGGCGAAGGCGACUCUCUGGACUGUAACUGACGCUGAGGCUCGAAAGCGUGGGGAGCAAACAGGAUUAGAUACCCU
rnacentral:rRNA from 1 species